rnacentral:lncRNA from 10 species
UUUGAGAAGGGGCUGAGUAGUUCUAUUUUUAACAAGCUCUUCCACAGGCACUUUUGACCUGUAGGUCAAUUAUACAUGUCUAUAAUUUGUGAGUUCACAAAUUUGUGAUUUUUUUUACAAUUAGGGAGCAUUACAUUGCUAUCUGAUAGUCACUUAGACACAUCUUUUUCUCUUUUUUAAAGUACAACUUUAUACAAUAUUCCCUUUUUUUCAGUCUAAUGUUACUCAGUUUUUAGCAGCCAUUCUCAACUGGGAUUUCACUAGAAAAGUAGGCCUUAAUCCCCCCCUAAGGUAUCCAUUGUAGCUAAUAAAUUAGUAAGAUCUAGAAUGGUACUAUCCUUGGGAGAAUUGAGGAUUAAAGUUACUCAAAUUAUUUUCUGGACAGUGGCUCAGAUGAGGAGCUGCAAUUGAGAAAGACACUGCCAGAAUGUCAGAAAGACUGGGGCUGGCUGUACAGCACCUUUAGCAUUCAGUUUCUCCAAAGCCUCUAAAAGUCGUCUGUCACAUUAUUUUCUGCUAGUUUGUUGGUUAAAAUUCUUUUUCAUGUGCUGCUUCAUCCAUGUUUGCUUACAGAAAGCAUACUAAGCAAAUUCACAGAUAUCUAUUAUAGGAAAUUGUAAACAUACAAAAGUAGAGAAGCAUAAUGCAUCCUCACAUACCUAUUCCUCUACUUCAGCAUGUUUGGCCAGCCUUGUUUGAUUUAUACUCUGAUUCACUUCCAUUCCCCAGAUUAUUUUAAAACAAAUCCCAGACAUAUUUUAUCAUGACACUUGUUAUUUUUAUUCUUUAAAGUAAUAAAUGUUUUGGGGGUUUUAAUGAAAAUCAGUGUUCUUUAUUAUCAACAGAUGUACCUUCACAAGUGUUUUUCAUUUUUUUUUUUUUUUUAAUUAACAAUAGAAAUGGGGUUGCACUAUGUUGUCCAAGCUGGUCUUGAAUUCCUGGGCUCAAGCAAUCCUCCUGCUUUGGCCUCCUAAUGUGCUGGGAACAGGCAUGAGCCACUGCACCUGGCCACAAAAUCUUAAGCAUCUGAAGAAAGCUUUCCUUCAAUUCUUUUUCUAGCCCCCUUUCUGCCUUCCUAAGAGUCUGGUCUGCAUUUGCUAUCUCUGCAGUCUCCCAUUUGCUUGAAUAUUUCUUACACUGUUUACUGUAUACAUUGUUAAUUGUGUAUAAGCAAUGCUACCAUAAUUUAUUUUUCAACAAGUCAUACCAGUGCACUGACACUGCUCUGUCAAGUAUCACUAAUGAUCAGUCUUCAUCUUAACUGAUCUUGUAUAGUAUUUGAUAAUUAUUUUCUCAUAGUAGUCUAAAUGUUAGUACGUUAUAGAUUGGUUCUAGACAUAAGCUACUUCUUGCUUUGUAAUAUUCUCCCCCUUCUUGCUUUGUAAUAUUCUCCCCGUAAGUUUCAGCUAUCACCUAUUACGUCAAGAUGACAAAUCUUUCUCCAACCAAGAGUCUAAUAAUCGCUAUCAUUUUACUGGACAGACUCCCAAUUCUGUGCUAGAAAUACCUACAGUCGGAUAAAACUGUUCCUCUGAAAAAAUCCCUCAUACUCCCUUGUCAGCCUAUCCCAAACCACCACUGAUGUUCUUGUCCAAUAGUUUUGCCUUUUCCACAAUGUCACAGAAAUGGAAUCAUAAGUAGCCUACUGAAUCCAGUGUCUUUCACUUAAGCAUUGAUGCAUUUGAGAUUUAUCUACAUUGAAUAUAUCAGUUCCUUUUUAUUGCAAAGUAGCAGUCGAUUGUCUGGAUGCACCACAGCUUAUUUAUAUGCAUUCACCAGCUGAAGGACGUUUGGGUUGUUUCCCACUUUUUGGCAAUUAGGAAGAAAGUCACUAUAAACAGUCAUGUACGUGAUUUUGUCUAAACAUAAGUUUCCAUUUCAUUUGUGUAAAUACCUAGGAAUGAGAUUGCUGGUUGUAUAAUGGUAUGUUUAAGAAACAACUUUCCACAGUGGCGAUGCCAUUUUGCGUUCACACCAGCAAUAUGUAAAAUUGUUCCACAUUGUUGUCAGAACUUACGAUUUGUCACUUUUUGGAUUUUAGCCAUUCUAACAGGCAUGUAAUGGGUGAAGUGUGUUCAAAUCUUUUGCCCACUUUUACAUUUGGUGGUUUUCCUACUGAAUUUUGAGAAUUCUUUAGAUACUGUAGAUAUACAAAUGCUUCAUCAGAUAUGGAACGUGUACAGAUUUUCUAAUAGUCUAUGGCUGGUUUUUUAAUUCUCUUAACAGUGUCUCAAAUAGCAGAAAUUAUUCAUUUUGAUAAAAUCCAUUUUAACAGUAUUUUACGGAUUGUGCUUUUGAUGUUGUAUAUAAAAUUUUCCCAUAAAACAUGUUCACUAAG